rnacentral:rRNA from 1 species
AUUGAACGCUGGCGGCAGGCCUAACACAUGCAAGUCGAGCGGAGCGGCGGACGGGUGAGUAAUGCCUAGGAAUCUGCCUGGUCGUGGAGGAUAACGUCCGGAAACGGGCGCUAAUACCGCAUACUAUCAGAUGAGCCUAGGUCGGAUUAGCUAGUUGGUGGGGUAAAGGCCGACAAAGGCGACGAUCCGUAACUGGUCUGAGAGGAUGAUCAGUCACACUGGAACUGAGACACGGUCCAGACUCCUACGGGAGGCAGCAGUGGGGAAUAUUGGACAAUGGGCGAAAGCCUGAUCCAGCCAUGCCGCGUGUGUGAAGAAGGCCUUCGGAUUGUAAAGCACUUUAAGCGGGGAGGCGUUACCCGCAGAAUAAGCACCGGCUAACUCCGUGCCAGCAGCCGCGGUAAUUC